GAGGUCAACGGAAGGAAACCGACGGUGUCCGCAGGUAAGCUGAGCUCCAUGUUGCUGCAGCCGCGGGCGUGCGACGGCACCGUCGGGAAGUACGGCGUGGACGAGACCCCUUCCUGAUUUGUACUCCCGUCGGGCGUUGGCCGCCCUAUCUUCCCCGUCGCUGACUGGACCCUGCACCCGGUCGCCACAUGAAGGAACCAGGAAGGAGACCCAGAUCUUCCAUGCCCGCUGUCCGACCACCACGCGCCGAACUGCUGAUGCCACUUCCCGAAGCCUGGUCGGGGAUGCAGGUGGUGGAUACAUUGGCCCCGUCGCUCACUGCUGCUUCCAAGAUAUAUUGUCGCGCCGCCUCAGCAGUUCAAGAAUCAAGAUACACCGGCAACCGGGAAACGAGGAACUACAGAUGAACACCGCAACAGGAGCAACACAUAAUGUCAGCUUGCAGAUUUUGGUCAGUUCUAUUGCACAUUGCCGGGUAUGUAUUUCAGUUAGGUACUAGAAAUAGUAACUGAAAUGAUGGAUAAGGAAAAUGUUGCCAGCACUAGAGUGGCAUCAACACAUAUUUGGAUAGGCCAAGUUGGUGACCUUCUAGCGCUUACAUUUUUGCUAGCUCCAGUACUGACACCAAGAUAAGUCUGCGAGGAAACAUAGGACAUGCAGUGGGAUGAAAUCAUGUUGAUAUGUGCUGACAUGUUAUCUGGUUGUCAAACAACGAAGUACGCUUUACAAAGAAUAAUACAGGAGAUGGACGGCUAUGUUUAUCAUUGUAAUGUUGGAAUGAGAUAAGCACCUCUUACACAUAAUGGAAGGAGCCAGAACAAGAACUAUCUUACCAAAGAUAUGCUGUUGUGGAAAAUGACACUCUUGUAGGAGGUUUAGUAGGUGGUUUGGUGUCACCUAAAUUAUUCUGAUUUUGGUUGUCGAUCAUAAAGCUGUGCAGGGUUGCCUUGUGGUUGAGGGUGGUGGAUGCCGGGACGGCGGCCCCGGACGGUUGACGUGCGCUGAGGCGCCAUGGCUGUGUGGUACUCGAGGACAGGCUCCCCCGGAGGAGAUUGCGGCUUUCGCAGACCAUCCACGAGCCAAUGAGGCCGUUCCUUCAGAGGAGUGCACUCUCGAGUUGAAGUGUUGAACCCAGAAGACCCUCGAUGGAC